rnacentral:rRNA from 1 species
UACGGGGGGGGCAAGCGUUGUUCGGAAUUACUGGGCGUAAAGGGCUCGUAGGCGGCCAACUAAGUCGGACGUGAAAUCCCCAGGCUCAACCUGGGAACUGCGUCCGAUACUGGAUGGCUUGAAUCCGGGAGAGGGAUGCAGAAUUCCAGGUGUAGCGGUGAAAUGCGCAGAUAUUAGGAAGAACACCGGUGGCGAAGGCGGCUCUCUGGAACGGUACUGACGCUGAGACGCGAAAGCGUGGGGAGCGAACAGG